GCUUCAAAUUUUCUACAAUAUAUAAAAAUCUUACCGGUGAAUAAAAAGAUUCUUCUUGUACAUCUACGAGCGGCGCAAAAAGGCAGGAUCCUCGACAUUGUAAAUCAACCAAGUUAUAGGAGAAAAAUAUCAAGAUUUUCAGUGCGAUUUUUACCUCAAAAACAAGCGAAAUCAUAAAAUAUCUGUGCUGAAACCAGGGGCACAGAAUAGGAAGUUAUACCAGAAGCGUAACUCGAGCAAAUAUUUGUUCGCAUUUUUACAAGCGAUUCGUCAUCAAUCACGCCAUCUGGCUAGUACAACCGGCACUUUGUACGAAUUGUACCUACCAAAUCCUGAUAAAAACUUCCGGCUGUACUAGCCAGGAUGGCG